CUUCAAUGGCCAGAAAUGGAGUUACCUAAUGCAAUCCCAAUGUGCUGUUGUAGAUUCUUUAGGCGGUUUUAAACAACUAGCAUUUUAAUAGCAGUAAAAUUCAUUUUAAUGUUGUGGGAUUAGAGGAAGAAGUGAUAGCUACAAGCAUAUCAAUGAAAACUAUGGUGUUAUAAAUUCAUGGUCUAGAUACCAUCCAAACAACUCUUGCAACCCUUCCUAAUUUUUCAUCCUAUGUGUCUUCACCAUCAACUUACAAAAAAUCACGUAUGGGUCAUAAGAUUUCAUGGCUAGAAUCACACUUUCUUUGAAUGGG
rnacentral:lncRNA from 1 species